GAAAGCAUUGGAGUUCUGGAGAGGUGAGGCAGAAUACGAAGGUAAACAGGAAUCGUUAUUCCUUUUCUGAGAGGUAUGUAAUCUACAGGGGAAGCAGGCAGCACCUGAAAGGGGAGGAGAGGUUGGUGGGCCACGCAGGGUUGAAGGAGGAGCAUAGGAACAUGGGUCUGGGAAAGUUUGGCUAGCUUUACAGUGCUUAAUUGAAAUACUACUUUGCAAUAUUUUCUCAACACCAGGGUUCAAGUUUGUUAGUCCUACUGAGACAUCAGGUCAGAAGAAAAGAACAAAAGUGAGAAGGCAUUCAUGGCUUUGCAUUCUCAGAAAGUCAUCCUGCUGGUUCAACUCUGUAUGAUUGAGCAUAUUGUCAUUGAUGAAGAAUUUUUAUUUAUUUUUGAUCAAAGACUUCACCAUGUUUUCCUGAACUUUUCAAUCUCCUGGUUGCAGAGUUUUAACGUGAGCUCUCCUAGGGCCUGGGAGAAUUUCUGAGAAUGACCCCUGAGAAUGAGCUCAGUGGUGAGAAGUCCAAGGACAGGAUGAGGUCGACAUUGCAAGUGUUUUUGGAAUAAGAAUCAACACACUUAAAGACUGGGAUUUGGAAGUGAGAAGGAGUACAUGGAAGUGAUUAAGGAAAACAAGGAAAUGAGACACAAGUGGCAACAUUUGUCAAAGUUCUAUGCAUUUGUUCCUUUGGAUUCAAGUGAAACAUCUGGAGUCAAUUCUUAACCCAAUGUUGGUUUGUUGUCACCAACCUCU